UUGUGUGAAUUAAUAUAUGUUUUUAAAAAUAUUCAGUCAAUUUUAUUUGUUGUGUGAAUUAAUAUUUAUUUUCGAAAAUGUGUAGUGUAAAUUAAUAUUUUUAUUUAUUCUUUACUGGGAUUAAUUCGUAAUGAGCCUAAAUCUAAAUUCAGUUCGGUAAUUUUGUUUCAACUACUAGAGAAUUGCAAUGUAGAAG